AAAUGUUCAUGGUUUUGCCCUA
rnacentral:siRNA from 1 species